GGUAUACUUGCUUUCAGAACCUCACAUAACAUCAGAGUAGACAGGCAGGCUAUACAAGGGCAAAAUAUAAUGUAUUUGUUCUUGAGAUCUUGAGACACAAAGGAAGAUGUCAAGACGCAGAGAUAGUACAUACACCAGCAGGGGGAUCUUGCGCAGAUCGACUGGCAGAAAAAACAAAAGGUGCAAGUCAGGAGCAGAGAUGCCAAUAAAAAGGAGAAAAGGGUAUGUACGCGUCUGUAGCACAUACUACUAUUGGAGAGGAAGAAGAUAAUUUCCAGCUGUUACCUUUCCUCUGCUGAGACUUUCCUUCUGUGGCAUCAAUGGCUCACUUUUAGGCAUCUUCCAUUAUGUGAAAAACCAUCAUAUAAGUCAACAAGCUGAGGGAAGGCUACAAGAUUGAGGAACUCUCCUAUUGAAGCAUGCUAGGCCUGCCUGUCUGUCAGUAAACUUGAUGCACCUCAA